rnacentral:rRNA from 1 species
UACGGAGGGUGCAAGCGUUAUCCGGAUUCACUGGGUUUAAAGGGUGCGUAGGUGGGUUCGUAAGUCAGUGGUGAAAUCCCCGAGCUUAACUUGGGAACUGCCAUUGAUACUAUCAGUCUUGAAUACCGUGGAGGUCGGCGGAAUAUGUCAUGUAGCGGUGAAAUGCUUAGAUAUGACAUAGAACACCAAUUGCGAAGGCAGCUGGCUACACGAAUAUUGACACUGAUGCACGAAAGCGUGGGGAUCAAACAGG